rnacentral:rRNA from 1 species
AGUGAACGCUGGCGGUAGGCCUAACACAUGCAAGUCGAACGGCAGCACAGUAAGAGCUUGCUCUUACGGGUGGCGAGUGGCGGACGGGUGAGGAAUACAUCGGAAUCUACUUUUUCGUGGGGGAUAACGUAGGGAAACUUACGCUAAUACCGCAUACGACCUACGGGUGAAAGCAGGGGACCUUCGGACCUUGCGCGAUCGAAUGAGCCGAUGUCGGAUUAGCGAGUUGGCGGGGUAAAGGCCCACCAAGGCGACGAUCCGUAGCUGGUCUGAGAGGAUGAUCAGCCACACUGGAACUGAGACACGGUCCAGACUCCUACGGGAGGCAGCAGUGGGGAAUAUUGGACAAUGGGCGCAAGCCUGAUCCAGCCAUACCGCGUGGGUGAAGAAGGUCUUCGGAUUGUAAAGCCCUUUUGUUGGGAAAGAAAAGCAGCAGGUUAAUACCCCGCUGUUCUGACGGUACCCAAAGAAUAAGCACCGGCUAACUUCGUG